CGUUCAAUCAUGCGAUCAUCGAUCGUCAAAUUAGCAAAGACAGCUGCAACCCGAAAUAAUCGUGCGAAACUUUAUUAAAUUGUUGAUGUUUAAAGAAAAUCAUGUAUAAGUGCAAGCUUGUCGUUGUUGGUUAUCUGCGCCCAGCAAAGUUAGUCAUGUCAAGAUCUUUAUCAACGCAGACUGCUUUGGAAGGUUCAGCAAGGGUCGUCUCGAAAACGCAUCUAAAAACUGGUGACCCUCUGCCAGAGUUAAGAGCUGGUUUUUCCAUGGCUGUUUAGCGCCAAAUUAUCUCCGUUUUCUCAUCGGGUUCGCUUGGUUUUUGCAACAAAAGGAAUCAGCUACGAUGAGAUCAACUGCAACUUGGGGACCAAGCCGAGUUCCUUGUGGAGCGCAACCC